UACGGAGGCUGCAAGCGUUAUCCGGAAUUAUUGGGCGUAAAGCGUCCGCAGGUGGCUGUUCAAGUCUGCUGUCAAAGACCGGGGCUUAACUUCGGAAAGGCAGUGGAAACUGAACAGCUAGAGUAUGGUAGGGGCAGAGGGAAUUCCUGGUGUAGCGGUGAAAUGCGUAGAGAUCAGGAAGAACAUCGGUGGCGAAGGCGCUCUGCUGGACCAUAACUGACACUCAGGGACGAAAGCGAGGGGAGCGAAUGGG
rnacentral:rRNA from 1 species